CAGCCGCCGCGAGAAUACAGAGGGUGCAAGCGUUAAUCGGAAUUACUGGGCGUAAAGCGCGCGUAGGUGGUUUGUUAAGUUGGAUGUGAAAUCCCCGGGCUCAACCUGGGAACUGCAUUCAAAACUGACUGACUAGAGUAUGGUAGAGGGUGGUGGAAUUUCCUGUGUAGCGGUGAAAUGCGUAGAUAUAGGAAGGAACACCAGUGGCGAAGGCGACCACCUGGACUAAUACUGACACUGAGGUGCGAAAGCGUGGGGAGCAAACAGGAUUAGAUACCCGGGUAGUCCCUGUCUCUUAUAA
rnacentral:rRNA from 1 species